rnacentral:rRNA from 1 species
GACGAACGCUGGCGGCGUGCUUAACACAUGCAAGUCGAACGGAAAGGCCCUGCUUUUGUGGGGUGCUCGAGUGGCGAACGGGUGAGUAACACGUGAGUAACCUGCCCUUGACUUUGGGAUAACUUCAGGAAACUGGGGCUAAUACCGGAUAGGAGCUCCUGCUGCAUGGUGGGGUUUGGAAAGUUUCGGCGGUUGGGGAUGGACUCGCGGCUUUUCAGCUUGUUGGUGGGGUAGUGGCUUACCAAGGCUUUGACGGGUAGCCUGCCUGGGCGGGUAACAGGCAAAAUUGGGGAGGAGAAACGGACCAGACGCGUAAGGGAGGAAGGAGGGGGGAAAAUGGAAAAAGGGGAGGAAGCCUGAGGGAGAAACGCCGGGGGGGGGAAGACGGCGUUGGGGUUGAAAACCGGUUUGGCCGGGAACAAAGGGGGAGGGACGGAAAUGGGUAAAAAAGAACGGGCUAACAAGGU